UACAGAGGUCCCAAGCGUUGUUCGGAUUCAUUGGGCGUCAAGGGUGCGUAGGUGGCGCCGUAAGUCGGGUGUGAACUUUCGGAGCUUAACUCCGAAACUGCAUUCGAUACUGCGGUGCUUGAGGACUGGAGAGGAGACUGGAAUUCAUGGUGUAGCAGUGAAAUGCGUAGAGAUCAUGAGGAAGACCAGUGGCGAAGGCGGGUCUCUGGACAGUUCCUGACACUCAGGCACGAAAGCGUGGGGAGCAAACAGG
rnacentral:rRNA from 1 species